rnacentral:pre_miRNA from 1 species
AGGAACAACAGCAGGGGCGGCGGCCAGCUCGGGACCCUGGAGUCAGCUCCCGCAGUAGCUCCAGAGCUCUCCAUCUGCAGGGACUGGAGGCUCCGGGGCGGG